CAUAUCUAUACAUAUAUUUAUAUCUAUGCAUACAUUUUAUACUACAAAUAUAUAUAGCAUAUUUCUAUAUCACAAAAUAUAUUACAUAAAGAAGGUCAUACCACAUUAUUUAUUAUAUAAACAAUAUUUACAUAAAUUUCAUUUGAACACACCUAUGUAUGUAUCUAUAAUAAUGAUGAUGGUGACUACUAUUGCUAACAUUUAAUUGCCUGGAAUGUGUUUGUCUCUAGUGAUGGAACCUGUCAGGCCUUGGGCAUGCUAAGCAUGUGUUCUACCACUGAAUUAUAUUUGUAGUGCUUUUUAUUUUUAUUUUUAGAUAGAAUCUUGCUAAGUUGCCCAGACUGGCCUUGAAGUUGUAAUCCUCCUGCCUCAGUCUCCUGAUAGCUAGGAUUUCACAUGUGUAAUACCUUGCUUGAUUUUAAACAUUUUUCAUGUGUUAACUCAUUUAGUCCUCAUAAUAAUCUAGAUGGUAGGUUAUUACUAUCAUCAUUGUAUAGAUGAGGAAACUAAGGCCCAGUGAGGUUAACUUACCCAAGGUCAUAAAAUUACUAAGCAAUGGUGCUGGGAUUAAAUCCAGGCUGUUUGUAUCUGUUUAUUUCCUUAACAAAAUCUCCUAAAAUGUAAAGUGAGAGAUCCAAGGAGUAUAUCUUAUAUACAUAUAUAUUUUAAAUUUUCAAAUAGUGUAUAUAUUAUACUGUCUAUAUAUUGUAUGUAUUAUACACUAUCUUCCUAAAAUGGAAGAUAAAUAUAAAAAGAAGCUGUACUGAUUUAUACUCAUCAUGCCACAUUUUCUUAGGAUACUGAAAAUGAAUUUAAGAAUAAAAAAGUUAUAAAAAUCAUACAUACACAAUAUCAGAGAUUAAAAGACAGACUUUCAGUAAUCUUUAAUCUCAUCACUCAAAUAUGACUACUUUACAUACUUUCAAAUUUCUUUCGUAUAUAACUGAAAGCCCUUAUAAAUAUAUGCACUCCUGCAUAUUUUCUAGAAUACUGCCAAAGACAAUGAAAAUAAUUUUUUAUUUAUAUGGCCCAAUUUGGGAAGGAAAGAUUAAUGUGAACCGUAUAUAUUAUAUGAGUACUUAUUUACUCCUGAUCUAACAUUAUACCCAUGUAAGCAAGUCUACAUUAAGUAAAAAGUGAUAUCUGCUUACUAUUUUUAAUCUGCCUCUUCUUUUAUAUUUGACAGUCAUAUGUGU
rnacentral:lncRNA from 1 species